rnacentral:tRNA from 1 species
GGAGAGGUGGCCGAGCUGGUUUAAGGCGCACGCUUGGAAAGCGUGUGUGCAGCAAUGUACCCAGGGUUCGAAUCCCUGCCUCUCCGCCA